CCCUGUCGGGUUUUACCUCCCCCCGGGAGAGCUCAGCCCUGGAUCCCGGCGGGCGGCGGAGCCUCUCUGGAGCCCGGACGGGACAGCCCACCAGGGUCUGCUUCUGUGAGGGGCCGAGGCGUCAUUCCGCGAAGGCUCUUCAUUCGAUGUACAAAAACCACAAGAUUAUCUAAAUAGAUGCAGAAAAGGCCUUCGAUAAAAAUCCUCAUUCCUUCAUGUUAAAAACUCUCAAUAAACUAGGUAUUGAAGGAACAUACCUCAAAAUAAUAAGAGCCAUUUAUGACAAACUCACAGCCAGUGUCCUUACUGAAUGGGCAAAAGCUGAAAGCAUUCCCCUUGAAAACCAGCACAAGACAAGUUUGCCCUCUCUCCCAACCCCUAUUCAAUAUAGUAUUGGAAGUUAUGGCCACGGCAAUCGGGCAAGAGAAAAAAAUGAAGAGUAUUUAAAUGGGAAAAGAGGAAGUCAAACUAUCUUUUUUUGCAGGUGACAUAAUCCUAUAUCUAGAAAACCCAUUGUCUCAACCCAAAAGCUUCUUAAGCUGAUAAGCAACUUCAGCAAAGUCUCAGGAUAAAAAAUCAAAGUGCAAAAAUUGCUAUACACCAACAACAGGCAAGCCAAGAGCCAAAUCAUGAAUGAGCUUUGAUUCACAAUUGCUACAAAAAGAACAAAAUACCUAGGAAUACAGCUAACAAGGGAA
rnacentral:lncRNA from 10 species